AACGAACGCUGGCGGCAGGCUUAACACAUGCAAGUCGAGCGCCCCGCAAGGGGAGCGGCAGACGGGUGAGUAACGCGUGGGAAUCUACCCAUCUCUACGGAAUAACGCAUGGAAACGUGUGCUAAUACCGUAUACGUCCUUCGGGAGAAAGAUUUAUCGGAGAUGGAUGAGCCCGCGUUGGAUUAGCUAGUUGGUGGGGUAAAGGCCUACCAAGGCGACGAUCCAUAGCUGGUCUGAGAGGAUGAUCAGCCACACUGGGACUGAGACACGGCCCAGACUCCUACGGGAGGCAGCAGUGGGGAAUAUGGGACAAUGGGCGCAAGCCUGAUCCAGCCAUGCCGCAUGAGUGAUGAAGGCCCUAGGGUUGUAAAGCUCUUUCACCGGUGAAGAUAAUGACGGUAACCGGAGAAGAAGCCCCGGCUAACUUCGUGCCAGCCGCCGCCGUAAAAC
rnacentral:rRNA from 1 species